AUUGAACGCUGGCGGCAUGCCUUACACAUGCAAGUCGAACGGUAACGCGGGGCAACCUGGCGACGAGUGGCGAACGGGUGAGUAACACAUCGGAACGUGCCCAGUAGUGGGGGAUAGCCCGGCGAAAGCCGGAUUAAUACCGCAUACGACCUAAGGGUGAAAGCAGGGGAUCGCAAGACCUUGCGCUAUUGGAGCGGCCGAUGUCAGAUUAGGUAGUUGGUGGGGUAAAAGCCUACCAAGCCGACGAUCUGUAGCUGGUCUGAGAGGACGACCAGCCACACUGGGACUGAGACACGGCCCAGACUCCUACGGGAGGCAGCAGUGGGGAAUUUUGGACAAUGGGCGCAAGCCUGAUCCAGCCAUGCCGCGUGCGGGAAGAAGGGCCUUCGGGUUGUAAACCGGACCUUUUGUUCUAGGGAAGAAACGGUACU
rnacentral:rRNA from 1 species